CCUGGGCUGUGGAGCGGCUCUGCUGUCGUGGGCCGGGGUCGGGCCUCCUUCUGCGCCCGGCCUUCCGGGCUUUCUUGCAAACUGGGCCAGAAAGGAGCAGUGCACCUGCACCCAGUGUUCCGAAACCCCUGCCCCAGGAGGUCAAGCUCACCGAAGUUCCUCUGUGUGCUCCGGCGCGGGGAAAAAGGUCUUGUCACCCUUAGUGAGUAGGAGUACUGAUGACUUAAUUCUCAGCUCUCAGGGCUUCCGCUUUGGAGGACAAAACCCCUGAUGGGUCUGAGCUGAUGUCCCUUUAGAGGAUGGUUCUUGUCUGAGCCUGAAGUGUGGAAUACAGUGAGGAGGGUAUUACAGUUGUUCAGAAGAAAGGUGACCGAGAUCUGAACCGAGGAGGUGGCAGCCAUUGAGUAUGGACAAGCGUUGAGUAAUGUGGCGGAUUGUGAUGGAUUUGUUUGAAGCUGAAGCUUCCAGCAUGCAUGGUUGAAAAGAAAAUGAUCCACAGUCUAUUUCUCAUAAACUGUUCCGGUGACAUAUUUCUAGAGAAGCACUGGAAAAGUGUUGUGAGCCAGUCUGUCUGUGAUUAUUUCUUUGAAGCUCAAGAGAAAGCUGCUGAUGUUGAAAAUGUACCACCUGUCAUUUCAACACCUCACCACUACCUCAUCAGUAUCUACCGGGAUAAGCUCUUCUUUGUGUCUGUCAUACAGACUGAAGUGCCACCUCUCUUUGUAAUUGAAUUCCUACACCGAGUUGCUGACACUUUUCAGGACUACUUUGGUGAGUGUUCGGAGGCUGCAAUUAAGGACAAUGUGGUCAUAGUUUAUGAGCUCUUGGAAGAAAUGUUGGACAAUGGAUUUCCACUGGCUACUGAAUCUAACAUUUUAAAAGAAUUGAUUAAACCCCCAACAAUUCUGCGUUCUGUUGUCAACUCUAUUACAGGCAGUAGUAAUGUAGGGGACACACUCCCCACUGGGCAGCUGUCCAACAUCCCAUGGCGCCGGGCAGGAGUAAAGUAUACAAACAAUGAAGCCUAUUUUGAUGUCAUUGAAGAAAUAGAUGCAAUUAUAGAUAAAUCAGGAUCUACAGUCUUUGCAGAAAUUCAGGGGGUCAUUGAUGCUUGUAUUAAGCUAUCUGGAAUGCCUGAUCUCUCUCUUUCCUUCAUGAACCCAAGGCUUCUGGAUGAUGUCAGCUUCCACCCUUGUAUCCGGUUCAAACGUUGGGAAUCUGAAAGAGUUUUAUCAUUUAUUCCUCCAGAUGGAAAUUUCCGACUCAUUUCAUACCGAGUCAGCUCACAAAAUCUAGUGGCAAUACCAGUGUAUGUGAAACACAGUAUCAGCUUUAAGGAGAACAGUUCUUGUGGAAGAUUUGAUAUAACAAUUGGACCAAAGCAGAAUAUGGGAAAAACUAUUGAAGGAAUCACAGUGACAGUUCACAUGCCAAAAGUUGUGCUGAACAUGAGCCUGACACCAGCACAAGGCAGCUAUACAUUUGAUCCAGUCACCAAGGUACAGCCACUUCAAAUCAAGAGUAUUAACAUGGGACGUGGGGAAAAUUACUCCACAAAAGCUUCCGAGUCUUAAAGGACUGGUAAAUUUACAGUCUGGAGCACCCAAACCAGAAGAGAAUCCAAGCCUCAACAUACAGUUUAAGAUCCAGCAGCUUGCUAUUUCAGGGUUGAAAGUAAACCGUUUGGACAUGUAUGGGGAGAAAUACAAGCCAUUUAAAGGAGUCAAAUAUGUCACAAAAGCUGGAAAGUUCCAAGUGAGGACAUGAGAAGAGGCCAAAAUUCCUCAAGAUCAGUUUGUUUUCCAAGUGUCAUUACAGUUUAUUACUAUUAGGUACCAAGUGGGUGGGAAUACAUAUUCUCCGUAAAGCAUUUGUGUCUAGCUACACAUCACUAACAGAGGUUGCUUAGUAAUCGAUGUAGGGUUCUUAAGGAACUUUAAGCUAAGGAAACCUUUCUAAUGACUUAGCUUAUUUUUUAUCUUUUCACUUAGGAAGAUUUUAGAGGUGAUUUCUUUCAAAGGGGAGGUACCAGCUGGAUGCUGCACACUGUAAAGGCUGAACGCUACAAUGGUAACUCUCUCCUAAAGAAAGUGAACUGGGCUCAUCCAGUGAGAACAGUCUUAAUCUGUGACGUGUCAGGUGCAGCCAGAUAUCAUACCUUCUGAUCUUAGCCAUCCCAAACAGUAUCUGUCCUAACAGGAAAUAACCCCACCCCAAGACGUUUACAGAAAACUGCCUCUUCAAGUGUUUGCCUUAUUCAGCUUUUCACUUGUGCCAUUAAGCAAGCACUGUAGCAAAAGCCACUUCCAUAUGGUCCUGGCAGGGAGCACUGCUGCUCCAUGCUCCAUUCUCACUGUACUUGGUAUUGUAUUUUUUAUAAAUAAGAUUUUAUGUAAAGGCUCAGAUUUUGAUUUACAAGUAACUUGCUGCAGUAAAUACCAUCUCAAGUUCGUGCCACCAGUUCAGCUGUUAGCACAGUAAAAAUCAUUUGUAUCAAAGGGGCAAAUGCUUUAUAAAGGUAAUAAAAGGGAACACUGCUUCUGCUUUUAGGAAGUUAUUGCAAGCACAAGCCUUGUGCUUUUAAGAAAAUUAAAGUAGUAAAAGAGAAACUUUUGCCACCUUCAUGUUUUAUAAUGCUUUAUCCAGCAUCAUCAGUUAACCUAAAUGCCUCAUGCCCUGCUUCAGAAAAAGGAGGAAAUUGUAUCUGCCUCACUGUCAUCAGUCCUUCCUUUUUUUUAACUUUUUAUCUUUUUUAUUAUUGUUCUUAAAAGAUUGAAUUUGCCUGCAUCUUUUUCUUUAGGAGGAACUCUGUUUCAUAUUGUGUGUGCAUAUCAAAGCUGUAGUCUUAGAUUUCUUUCUGAAAUUUGUCAAAACUAACUGCAGUGCUUAGAUGUCUCCACCAUACUGACAGGGUACAUGGAAAAACAUUAGGUUGAGGCAGAAACAGAAUUCACAGUAACAUUUAUGAUACCAUAUUGAUCAUCAUGGUUAUAAAGUAAACCUAUAGUAGAAUCACUUCAGUUUAUUGGCUUGGUAGUCCUUACCCAGAUAUGUUGCCUCAUUAGGCAUGAAGAAAUAGACGAAGGCUGAAGGUUACAAUUUAUUAGGUGCUUAUGGAUCCUAUUUCUUCUUGCUCUUAAGCUAUUUAUUACUUUUCAUCUAAUUGUGGCUCCAUUCUUUCUUCUCUCAUUCUUCUUAGCUUAUAACUUUUUUUCCCUUUACCAUACUAAAGGUUCCUCUUCUACUCAUCCCAGUUACUAGUGGUGUGUGCAUCCAUUUUAGGAUAGCAUUCUUACCUUUGCUUGCCUUGAGUAUUCAGUCUACCUUUCAUCUGGUAAAAACAGCUACUUUGCCUAGCCCGGUGGCACGUGGGUAUAAUCCCAACACUUGGGAGGCUAAGUCAGGAAGAUUGCCAAGUUUGAGGCCAUCCUGUCUCAUAAAAACAAAACAAAAACAAAAGGCUACUUUUGCAAUUUAUUAAUUUCUACAGUAACCAGUCUCAGAUUGGUAGCUAAAGUUUAAAUGUUGCCAAAUAUUUAUUCCCUUUAGCUAAGAUUGGUUAUCCAGUUCAAUUGCAUUUCCUAUUUUAAUAUCCUACUCAUUAGAAUUCUUGCCUCAAAACAUUUGCUUUUCAGUUGGGUGUGUUGGCGCACACCUGUAAUCCCAGCAUUUGGGAGGUUGAGGCAGGGGGAUCAAACUGUAAAUUCAAGGCCAGUUUACACUACAUAGUGAGUUCUAGGCCAACCUAAAUUAUAUCGUGAGACCCUGUCUCAAAAAUGGUUUUCUUUCUGCAAAAUCUCUAAUCUCAGCCAUCUGUACCUGCACUCUCCAAUUUUCUUCCUGUGGUGUCUUUUCUUAUAUCCAAGUAGAAUGCAUGCCAAAGAGCUGUUUGCCUCUAGCAAUUUCUGCUAAAAAAUCCAAGUAGUCUGUUUCCUUUGACAAAUUAUUAUAUUAAUUUGAUAGAAUCUAAUAAAUCCUCUCUCUGGCUUUGGCUAUACUGUCAAUAAAAAGAUGAAAGCAA